rnacentral:rRNA from 1 species
GAUGAACGCUGGCGGCGUGCCUAAUACAUGCAAGUCGAGCGAACAGACGAGGAGCUUGCUCCUCUGACGUUAGCGGCGGACGGGUGAGUAACACGUGGAUAACCUACCUAUAAGACUGGGAUAACUUCGGGAAACCGGAGCUAAUACCGGAUAAUAUAUUGAACCGCAUGGUUCAAUAGUGAAAGACGGUUUUGCUGUCACUUAUAGAUGGAUCCGCGCCGCAUUAGCUAGUUGGUAAGGUAACGGCUUACCAAGGCGACGAUGCGUAGCCGACCUGAGAGGGUGAUCGGCCACACUGGAACUGAGACGCGGUCCAGACUCCGACGGGAGGCAGCAGUAGGGAAUCUUGCGCAAUGGGCGAAAGCCUGACGGAGCAACGCCGCGUGAGUGAUGAAGGUCUUCGGAUCGUAAAACUCUGUUAUUAGGGAAGAACAAAUGUGUAAGUAACUAUGCACGUCUUGACGGUACCUAAUCAGAAAGCCACGGCUAACUACGUG